rnacentral:rRNA from 1 species
GAUGAACGCUGGCGGCGUGCCUAAUACAUGCAAGUCGAGCGAACGGACGAGAAGCUUGCUUCUCUGAUGUUAGCGGCGGACGGGUGAGUAACACGUGGAUAACCUACCUAUAAGACUGGGAUAACUUCGGGAAACCGGAGCUAAUACCGGAUAAUAUUUUGAACCGCAUGGUUCAAAAGUGAAAGACGGUCUUGCUGUCACUUAUAGAUGGAUCCGCGCUGCAUUAGCUAGUUGGUAAGGUAACGGCUUACCAAGGCAACGAUGCAUAGCCGACCUGAGAGGGUGAUCGGCCACACUGGGACUGAGACACGGUCCAGACUCCUACGGGAGGCAGCAGUAGGGAAUCUUCCGCAAUGGGCGAAAGCCUGACGGAGCAACGCCGCGUGAGUGAUGAAGGUCUUCGGAUCGUAAAACUCUGUUAUUAGGGAAGAACAUAUGUGUAAGUAACUGUGCACAUCUUGACGGUACCUAAUCAGAAAGCCACGGCUAACUACGUG